rnacentral:rRNA from 1 species
CCUACGAGUGGCAGCAGUGGGGGAUAUUGCACAAUGGGGGAAACCCUGAUGCCGCGACGCCGCGUGAAGGAAGAAGUAUUUCGGUAUGUAAACUUCUAUCAGCAGGGACGAAAGUGACGGUACCUGACUAAGAAGCCCCGGCUAACUACGUGCCAGCAGCCGCGGUAAUACGUAGGGGGCAAGCGUUAUCCGGAUUUACUUGGUGGAAAGGGAGCGUAGGCGGUGAUGCAAGUCAGAAGUGAAAGCCCGGGGCGCAACUCCGGGACUGCUUUUGAAACUGUAUGGCUAGAUUGCAGGAGAGGCAAGUGGAAUUCCUAGGGUAGCGGUGAAAUGCGUAGAUAUUAGGAGGAACACCAGUGGCGAAGGCGGCUUGCUGGACUGUAAAUGACGCUGAGGCUCGAAGGCGUGGGGAGCAAACAGGAUUAGAUACCCCAGUAGUC